rnacentral:misc_RNA from 1 species
UCCGGCUUAUCACCGGCGGUCUCUUUAGAGUGCCCAACUAAAUGAUGGCAACUAAAGACGAGGGUUGCGCUCGUUGCGGGACUUAACCCAACAUCUCACGACACGAGCUGACGACAGCCAUGCAGCACCUGAACCGGCAGUCCCCGAAGGGAAAAUCCUAUUUCUAGGACGGUCCGCCGUUGUCUAGCCCAGGUAAGGUUCUUCGCGUUGCAUCGAAUUAAUCCGCAUGCUCCGCCGCUUGUGCGGGCCCCCGUCAAUUCCUUUGAGUUUCAGUCUUGCGACCGUACUCCCCAGGCGGCGAACUUAACGCGUUAGCUUCGACACUGAGCUCUCAAUUGAGCCCAACGUCCAGUUCGCAUCGUUUAGGGCGUGGACUAC